rfam:Aedes albopictus isolate Foshan contig130419, whole genome shotgun sequence.
UGUCCAGCAACUCCUAUCCCUACCUCCGCGCGGUACCGGCUGGAAACUAUGAGCAAUCUUAGGGAAGAUCGGGUAACCAACCCCGGUAGGAACUUUGGUCGUUGGCUGACAGGGAAGG